UGGCAUGUCUUUGAGACUGAUUCCUAUUUAUAAAUAGAGCAGGUAUAGCAUGAGCAGCAGCAGUGCAAGCUUCCAUGACCCCCACCCCAUAGCAAUGUGCUCAUUUCAAAUAUGCUACUGAACAGCCAUCAUAUGGAAACAACACUCAGUCACUGCUUAGCUGGGCUGGAUUUGA
ensembl:misc_RNA